AAGCAGGCAGCGUGGUUUGGCUGUGCUGCCUUCCAGCACUGAGUGAGAUGCUCAAGCUGCCACGCUGGUGGAACUGUGAGAAGUGAACACAGCAGCUUGUAGCACGUGAGAGACGUUUUCCAUUUGGUUUGCAGCAUCUCCUGUGUCACCAGUCAUAUGAGAGGGGACACCAGCCUUAGCUGUGCUUACAGCAGAUUUUUUUCCUUCUCUUAUUGUGGACAAAGGAGUAGUUCAUCCUCCUAAUCAGAAAACAAAGCCUAAUCUGCAGAGAUCCAGCUAAUCUGGUCAUUCCUGCUGGAAGAAUAGCACAGAGCCAUUGCACCAAGUUAUGCCGUGCAAAAGAUGGGAGUGGGCUGCAGCCGGUGCUGCUCUACUCUGAGCUCCUGUUGUGGCCGUCCCCCUGACUGCAUAAUGGGGGCUUUCAAACCCCAGCUUUUAUCACUUUCUGUUUUCUGUACUUUGCCCUUUUAUGAAUAUUGAGUCAUCAAAAAUAGCUUCAGUGACAGAGUUACUAAUGGUACCAGCUGGGUGAAUCAGUGGCUCCUGCAGUGUCUGGUGCCUGCUGCACAGGGCUAUUAGCACCCCCGGGACAACACACGACGAGAAUUACACGUCCAGAUUUUAUCUGCAGCUCCCUUGAGACACAUCGCCGUGGUUAUUUUAGAACUGGAAAACGUCAGUGGAACAAAGCAAAUAUUCGGCCAUUUCAAUGCUGUAUUACCAUCAAAGAGAAGAAACUCCAGCUUAGAAGAAACAGAUGCAGCGCGGAGCGGGAGCGGUUCUCUCGGAGCAGCGGCAGCCCCCGUACCCAGGGGCAGCAGGGGCUGGGCAGCACGGCCCCUUGCCCUCCCCGCUCCCCUGCACAGCCGCCCCGGCAGCACCGCUAAGUGACCGCCCCUGGCGCACUGAGCUGCUACAUUAAAGUAUCCCGACCGCGGCCGUUAGCGAGCGUUACAGGCAUCUUAACAAAGCUGAGCCUCCGAAUGGAAUGUGCUGCCUUUUUCCCCCCCCACCUUUUUUUCUUUCUUUUUUUUUUUUUCUUUUUUUUUUUUCCCAGGGAGGCUCAUGCUCUUCCAUGGGGAAAAUGCGUCCGAAAUUCUGUUACGAGGCUGUUGGCUACGGUAACGUUAACUGAAAGCGAGCUGCGGUUUUUAACCUAGAGCACAUUGCAUAACAACAGCUGGGCUGCGCCCGAGGAACCGCCAAGGAGCGCGGACGGGGCACCGCAGCCCGCGGGCGCACGGACGGACAUCGGCUCCGGUCCGCUCGGGCCGGGACGCGCCGGGAACGGCAGCCCCGCGGGCAGGGACGGGCUCCGCUCUCACUUACAUAUCGCUUCAGCUUCCUCUCGGGAGGUGACUUGAUGAGCCAGCCGGUGCAAACGACGUCCCCGGAGCUCAUCUUCCCCCCGCUCCGAGCGCGGGUCCGCGAGUGCGCGGCCGCGCCUCGUUCCCCGGCGAUCGGCGAGCUUCCUCCGGCCCCGCUCCCACAGCGCUCCGGCCCGGGGAGGAAGUCAUGACAUUGAUCACUGACACGGCCGGCCCUCCUCCCUCCGCCGCGAACACAAUGCAGCACACCGAACACGUGAUGGGGACGACGGGGACCGACGGCCGGGCGGGGUCCCGCCGGUGGCCCCGCCCGAAAGAUGCGGCGCCUCGGGCGGUGAGAGCGGGGGGCCGAUACCCGGCGAUGGGGCCGGUACCCGGGCAUGGUGACGGUACCCGGGCAUGGAGCCGGUACCCGGGGGUGCCGCCGGGAUCGAGGCUCCCACCCUCCCGAGCGCCUGCCCGCAGCAAGACGUGCCUCGCUGCUUCUUUGCUCGGCUGAGGGCUUAUUGGUUUGUCUUUUUUCCCUCCUCCCUAGAAACUUCCUAGAAUAAAUGAAUAAGCCGAGAAGCCCGCAUCGAUAACCGUGGGCACUGUUAGAGAGCAGGAUUGAAGUGCUGAGGUCCGCACCAAUCUGCUCUGAUACGUGCCAAUGGCAAAGACCAGCAAAGGGGGAUCAGUCUGACCCCAAACACAGGCGCAGUUCACCUCAGCCGGUACCUAAGAGGAGUUCUCUUCUUUCACUUAAAGUUUUCUCCGCUUCCCCUCCUUAGGCUCCUGAUGUUUCACAGAAAAACAACCCCUGACUACUGGUAAGCCAGAAGAGAACAAAUUGCCUGAUUGCAUUUUGUGGAAAGCAGGAAGGAGAGCAAUACUUUACAUGAUGUAAUAUAGAGAGGACAAGGAGGAAUGGCUUUAAACUAAGAGAGGGGACAUUUAGGUCAGAUGUGAGGAAGAAAGUCUUUACUCAGACGGUGGUGAGGCCCUGGCACUGCUGAACAGCGCUGUCGUUGCCCCAUCCCCAGAGGUGUGUAGGGCCACGGAUGGGGCCCUGGGUAGCCUGAGCUGGGGGAGCAGCCAGCCCACGGCAGGGGUUGGAUCUCAAUGAUCUUUGAGGUCCCUUCUGAUCUCAGCCAUCCUGUGAUUCUAUCAUUCCCCCAUGUCCCCACACGCACUUGACUGGAACACACAGGCAUGCUAUUUGAACCUGCUCAUUUCCAUAUUGCAGAGCUAAUGGUGCUGUAGUGAAUGCUGAGAACAGUGUGAAGGCCCUCGCUGUGCUGCUGAGAGAGGAGCACUCAGGAGGGAGAAGAAGGGCAGAACUUAUUUGGUUCACAAAUGAGUGGGUAUCGAAACAGGAAGAGAUGCCAGAGUAAUCCAAGCUGACAUUCCCACAAGCAAAUGUUUUUUCCACAUCUGGACUAAAACACAUCUUUUAAAAAGCUAUCUAAUCUGACCUUCAGUAUGUCAAGCAAUGGUGAGGGAAGAGAUUUCCUUGUAGCCUGUUCCUGUUCUUCUACUGAGUAUGUUACAUUUUAUUUGAAAUCUAAAUCCAUCUAAUUUUGACCUUCUG